rnacentral:rRNA from 1 species
UUCCCCCAGUAGCGGCGAGCGAACGGGGAGGAGCCCAGAGCCUGAAUCAGUGUGUGUGUUAGUGGAAGCGUCUGGAAAGGCGUGCGAUACAGGGUGACAGCCCCGUACACAAAAAUGCACAUAUUGUGAGCUCGAUGAGUAGGGCGGGACACGUGGUAUCCUGUCUGAAUAUGGGGGGACCAUCCUCCAAGGCUAAAUACUCCUGACUGACCGAUAGUGAACCAGUACCGUGAGGGAAAGGCGAAAAGAACCCCGGCGAGGGGAGUGAAAAAGAACCUGAAACCGUGUACGUACAAGCAGUGGGAGCCUCUUAAUGGGGUGACUGCGUACCUUUUGUAUAAUGGGUCAGCGACUUAUAUUCUGUAGCAAGGUUAACCGAAUAGGGGAGCCGAAGGGAAACCGAGUCUUAACUGGGCGUUAAGUUGCAGGGUAUAGACCCGAAACCCGGUGAUCUAGCCAUGGGCAGGUUGAAGGUUGGGUAACACUAACUGGAGGACCGAACCGACUAAUGUUGAAAAAUUAGCGGAUGACUUGUGGCUGGGGGUGAAAGGCCAAUCAAACCGGGAGAUAGCUGGUUCUCCCCGAAAGCUAUUUAGGUAGCGCCUCGUGAAUUCAUCUCCGGGGGUAGAGCACUGUUUCGGCAAGGGGGUCAUCCCGACUUACCAACCCGAUGCAAACUGCGAAUACCGGAGAAUGUUAUCACGGGAGACACACGGCGGGUGCUAACGUCCGUCGUGAAGAGGGAAACAACCCAGACCGCCAGCUAAGGUCCCAAAGUCAUGGUUAAGUGGGAAACGAUGUGGGAAGGCCCAGACAGCCAGGAUGUUGGCUUAGAAGCAGCCAUCAUUUAAAGAAAGCGUAAUAGCUCACUGGUCGAGUCGGCCUGCGCGGAAGAUGUAACGGGGCUAAACCAUG